GACGAACGCUGGCGGCGCGCCUAACACAUGCAAGUCGAACGAGCGAGAGAGAGCUUGCUUUCUCAAGCGAGUGGCGAACGGGUGAGUAACGCGUGAGGAACCUGCCUCAAAGAGGGGGACAACAGUUGGAAACGACUGCUAAUACCGCAUAAGCCCACGACCCGGCAUCGGGUAGAGGGAAAAGGAGCAAUCCGCUUUGAGAUGGCCUCGCGUCCGAUUAGCUAGUUGGUGAGGUAACGGCCCACCAAGGCGACGAUCGGUAGCCGGACUGAGAGGUUGAACGGCCACAUUGGGACUGAGACACGGCCCAGACUCCUACGGGAGGCAGCAGUGGGGAAUAUUGCACAAUGGGGGAAACCCUGAUGCAGCGACGCCGCGUGGAGGAAGAAGGUCUUCGGAUUGUAAACUCCUGUUGUUGAGGAAGAUAAUGACGGUACUCAACAAGGAAGUGACGGCUAACUACGCG
rnacentral:rRNA from 1 species